rnacentral:rRNA from 1 species
UACGGAGGGUGCAAGCGUUAUCCGGAUUCACUGGGCUUAAAGGGUGCGUAGGUGGCUUUGUAAGUCAGUGGUGAAAACCCGGAGCUCAACUCCGGAACUGCCAUUGAUACUGCUUAGCUUGAAUCACGUCGAGGUGGAUGGAAUAAUACAUGUAGCGGUGAAAUGCUUAGAUAUGUAUUAGAACACCGAUUGCGAAGGCAGUUCACUAGGCGUGUAUUGACACUGAGGCGCGAAAGCGUGGGGAUCAAACAGG